rnacentral:rRNA from 1 species
CUCGUAGGCGGUUCGUCGCGUCCGGUGUGAAAGUCCAUCGCUUAACGGUGGAUCCGCGCCGGGUACGGGCGGGGCUUGAGUGCGGUAGGGGAGACUGGAAUUCCCGGUGUAACGGUGGAAUGUGUAGAUAUCGGGAAGAACACCAAUGGCGAAGGCAGGUCUCUGGGCCGUCACUGACGCUGAGGAGCGAAAGCGUGGGGAGCGAACAG